rnacentral:lncRNA from 1 species
UAAGCCUCACCAUCAGGAUGCAGAACUCGGUCUGAUUCAGUGCCCCAUCUCCGUCAAGGUCACCUUCUCGAACCAUCCCUUCCGCUUCGUCUUUGCUCAUCCCUUCCAUGCCUAAAAGUGCAGAGUUUCUCCUCAGACUCUCUGGCGUUAUCAACCCUCUUUCCUGGUCAGCUAGAAGCCGAAACCCUCCAGAUAAUUCAGACACAAAAGCUUCCACGUCGAGCUUUUCUGCCAUCACAGGUAACAAAUCCUCGUACUGGCUUGUUGUUGUCGAAGGUGUUCCGUUAAUUCCCUUGUUUUCCAUUGUGUUGGGUUGCUGAAAGAAGCUUGUUCUGCUCUGGGGUCAAAAACAAAAACAAAAACAAAAUAGAGGGACAAGGAUAGCUUAAAGGUGCGCACUGUGGACUUCGCACCGAGGGAGCGAUUUAUAUAAGGACCAGCGCAUAGCCUUUAU